UAGAAUCAGUAAUCAACAUCUCUUCCUAUACAAAAUCCUUUCACAAUCUUCAUAAUCAUCCACCUAACAAAACAGAAGAGAACAAGGAAAAAAAGAAAAGAAAAGCAAAUGCAAAGCCAGAACAAAACAGGGAAUUCGAGGAAUAGAGAGGAGCUAUUGUUUGCCGACCAGACUUCGCCAGCACUGUGGUGGCUGAAUUUCUUCUUCAGAAAAGCACGCAUGACAGGUAUGGAUCUCACGUCUCAGUGGCGCAUACUUGCUUUGUACGGCCUCUAAUUGAUUAUUUAGUGUCAUUGAAUGUUAUGCAAUUAAGCAAUUACUACCAGUGGACAAGGUUUGAAUUAUUUGUGGCUUUCUUGUGACUGGCAACAAUGAGCCUUGGUUAGAGAAGGCUUUCUCGUCUUUCAGGUGCAUCAUUCACAUAUAAAUGAGUUGAAAAUCAACCAGUGCCAAAGUCUACUGACCAGAUUACUAUAUCUAAUGCAAUUAUUGUUCUUUUGUGUUUAAGGAGGAACUACGAGGUCUUCUUCCAUGUGCUUGUGUGGCAGGGUCAUCUUAGCUGUCUUGCUUCCACCAUGGGCUGGCAGUGAAUACCAAUAACAUCACUUUGCCUGAUGAUGGUGGGGGAGCAUUGAGUGGGAUUUAUUUGGGAUUAAGGGGCUCUUGCGAAAAUAUACUCAGUUAUGCUAUGGGAUUACUUGGGGGGACUAAUAUGGUCUAGCCCAAAUUGGUGCCGCCCAAUUCUAUGAUGUAACAUAAAGCCCCAUUUGUGGUACUUUGAACACAUGGAUAUAUUUCAGGUCCACCAUUUUUUUUUU